CAACGACAACAAGGUAAAUUCCAGAUUCAUUCUUUAAUUUCCUCUGAUCAGACGUGUGUCAGAAGUGAUUGUGACACGGUUGGGAUGAAAACAAAACAAAUAGAUGCAUUACUAACACACUGGAACACACGCAACGUUUAUAUAGUGGAUAGAGGGAUACAGUAGGGUGGAUAGAAGUCAUGUGAUCAUGUAGGUUUAUAUAGUGGAUAGAGGGAUACAGCAGGGUGAAGCCUGGUGGAUAGAAGUCAUGUGAUCAUGUAGGUUUAUGAUAGAGGGUGUGGUGAUGGGGCGGACUAGUGGCUUUGUAAGGGAGGUGAGCUGGUUGGGUGGUGAUGGGGCGGACUAGUGGCUUUGUAAGGGAGGUGAGCUGGUUGGGUGGUGAUGGGGCAGACUAGUGGCUUUGUAAGGGAGGUGAGCUGGUUGGGUGGUGAUGGGGCGGACUAGUGGCUUUGUAAGAUGGGUGAGCUGGUUGGGUGGUGAUGGGGCAGACUAGUGGCUUUGUAAGAGAGGUGAGCUGGUUGGGUGGUGAUGGGGCGGACUAGUGGCUUUGUAAGAGGGGUGAGCUGGUUAGGUAGUGAUGGGGCGGACUAGUGGCUUUGUAAGGGAGGUGAGCUGGUUGGGUGGUGAUGGGGCGGACUAGUGGCUUUGUAAGAGGGGUGAGCUGGUUGGGUGGUGAUGGGGCGGACUAGUGGCUUUGUAAGAUGGGUGAGCUGGUUGGGUGGUGAUGGGGCAGACUAGUGGCUUUGUAAGGGAGGUGAGCUGGUUGGGUGGUGAUGGGGCGGACUAGUGGCUUUGUAAGAUGGGUGAGCUGGUUGGGUGGUGAUGGGGCGGACUAGUGGCUUUGUAAGAUGGGUGAGCUGGUUGGGUGGUGAUGGGGCGGACUAGUGGCUUUGUAAGGGAGGUGAGCUGGUUGGGUGGUGAUGGGGCGGACUAGUGGCUUUGUAAGAUGGGUGAGCUGGUUGGGUGGUGAUGGGGCGGACUAGUGGCUUUGUAAGGGAGGUGAGCUGGUUGGGUGGUGAUGGGGCGGACUAGUGGCUUUGUAAGAUGGGUGAGCUGGUUGGGUGGUGAUGGGGCGGACUAGUGGCUUUGUAAGAUGGGUGAGCUGGUUGGGUGGUGAUGGGGCGGACUAGUGGCUUUGUAAGGGAGGUGAGCUGGUUGGGUGGUGAUGGGGCGGA